GUCGUCAGCUCGUGUCGUGAGAUGUUGGGUUAAGUCCCGCAACGAGCGCAACCCUUGGUGUUUAGUUGCAAACAGGUCAAGCUGUGCACUCUAGACAGACUGCCGUGGACGAACACGGAGGAAGGUGGGGAUGACGUCAAGUCAGCAUGGCCCUUACGUCCGGGGCUACACACGUGCUACAAUGGCCGGUACAAAGGGUUGCGAAGCCGUGAGGUGGAGCGAAUCUCAAAAAGCCGGCCUCAAGUUCGGAUUGGAGGCUGCAACUCGCCUCCAUGAAGUCGGAAUCGCUAGUAACCGCAGAUCAGCUACGUUGCGGUGAAUACGUUCCCGGGCCUU
rnacentral:rRNA from 1 species